rnacentral:tRNA from 1 species
GACCCACUAGCUCAGCGGUAGAGCAUUUCGCUUUUAACGAAGGGGUCCGGAGUUCGAUCCUCCGGUGGGUCACCA